UACGUAGGGUGCGAGCGUUAAUCGGAAUUACUGGGCGUAAGGUGUGCGCAGGCGGCUCUGCAGGUCGAGGGUGAAAUCCCCGAGCUUAACUUGGGAAUUGCGCUCGAAACUAUGGAGCUGGAGUGUGGCAGAGGAAGGUGGAAUUCCACGUGUAGCGGUGAAAUGCGUAGAGAUCCGGAGGAACCCCAGAGGCGAAGGCGGCAGCCUGGUUGGUAUCUGACGCUCGGACACGACAGCAUGGGGAGCGAACGGG
rnacentral:rRNA from 1 species